rnacentral:sRNA from 1 species
CAUACGAUGGGUUCCUUAAUUAGGGCUUUACUCGGAGUACGCCUUAGCAGCCUGAAGCCAAUAAAUAUAUGUCCUUCCAAUCAUAACUAUUAACGUUUAGAAUUAAAACUUCUACUGUCAAUUUUCUAUUAAAACAAGUUUGCAAAAUCUAAUAUCUAAUAAUUUUAUGAUAUCAUGACAGUAUUAUUUUACAAAUAUACUCUUACGAUAUUUUUAAUUUUAAACUAAGCAUUCACAAAGUUAAUAAUGGUCAAAGUUUCGAAUUUUGGCCAUUUUUUUGUCAUAAAUUAUUAAAUAUGUAUGAGCGGAUUGCGGAUCCAGUAAUUAAUUGUAACUUCAGUUUUCUUAACAUGUGCCCGAAGUGGUAUUAAGCCAAAAUGCCAUUAGAAAUGCUUCAUAGUAGUGAUAGCAAAUUAGGGCAUGUUUAGUUGGCAAAAAAUUUUGCCCCUACAUAUCAUAUCAAAUAUACGGACACACAUUUAAAGUAUUAAACGUAGUCUUCGCCAGGAAACUGCGGGAUGAAUUUAUUAAGCCUAAUUAAUACGUCAUUAGCAAUGUUUACUGUAGCACCACAUUGUCAAUUCAUGGCACAAAGUAGGCUUAAAAGAUUCGUCUCGUAAUUUCCUAGCGAACUGUGUAAUUGGUUUUUUUCUACAUUUAAUACUCUAUGCAUGUGCCCAAACAUUCGAUGUGAUAGCGUGAAAAAUUUUAUUUGAAAACUAAACAUGCCCUUAGAAACGAAUAUAGUAAAAUAAAUAUUUUAACUAGUCUUAUCCAAGUCAAUCGAGACAGAGUUAGUUUGCGUAAUUCAUUGUAAGGUCAAGUCUAUCCUAGAAUAAGAU